CAGCCGCCGCGGUAAUACGGAGGGUGCAAGCGUUAAUCGGAAUUACUGGGCGUAAAGCGCACGCAGGCGGUUUGUUAAGUCAGAUGUGAAAUCCCCGAGCUUAACUUGGGAACUGCAUUUGAAACUGGCAAGCUAGAGUCUUGUAGAGGGGGGUAGAAUUCCAGGUGUAGCGGUGAAAUGCGUAGAGAUCUGGAGGAAUACCGGUGGCGAAGGCGGCCCCCUGGACAAAGACUGACGCUCAGGUGCGAAAGCGUGGGAAGCAAACAGGAUUAGAGACCCCAGUAGUCCCUGUCUCUUAUAC
rnacentral:rRNA from 1 species